CGAAAGCCUGACGGAGCAACGCCGCGUGUGGGAAGAAGGCUCUUGGGCUGUCAACCACUUUUCUCAGGGAAGAAGUUCUGACGGUACCUGAGGAAUCAGCCUCGGCUAACUCCGUGCCAGCAGCCGCGGUAAUACGGAGGAGGCAAGCGUUAUCCGGAAUCAUUGGGCGUAAAGCGUUCGUAGGCGGCUGUUCAAGUCUGCUGUCAAAGACCGAGGCUCAACCUCGGGUCGGCAGUGGAAACUGGAUAGCUAGAGGUCGGUAGGGGCAAAGGGAAUUCCCAGUGUAGCGGUGAAAUGCGUAGAUAUUGGGAAGAACACCAGUGGCGAAGGCGCUCUACUGGGCCGUAACUGACGCUGAGGGACGAAAGCUAGGGGAGCG
rnacentral:rRNA from 1 species